rnacentral:misc_RNA from 1 species
AACGCACCUUGCGCCCUCUGGUAUUCCGGAGGGUAUGCCUGUUUGAGUGUCUUGAUAUCAUCAAACCCCUCGGGUUCGCGCCCGUCGCGGUUUGGAGUUGGGGGUUGCUGCCGCGAGGCGGCUCCCCUUAAAAUCAUCGGUUUGGCCCGCAUCAUGCGGCUUGCACCUUUGGCGUUGUAUUUUCCUCGCCUUCAAUCGGUCUCGCUCGCUUCCGUGCCUCACUUCGACUUGCCCUUUGGGUGGCGGUCACUUCUUGACAAUCUGGCCUCAAAUCAGGUAGGACUACCCGCUGAACUUAA